rnacentral:siRNA from 1 species
UGUCCGGGCUAGGUGUCAUCAU